rnacentral:rRNA from 1 species
AGAGUUUGAUCAUGGCUCAGAUUGAACGCUGGCGGCAUGCCUUACACAUGCAAGUCGAACGGCAGCAUGAUCUAGCUUGCUAGAUUGAUGGCGAGUGGCGAACGGGUGAGUAAUACAUCGGAACGUGCCCUGUAGUGGGGGAUAACUAGUCGAAAGAUUAGCUAAUACCGCAUACGACCUGAGGGUGAAAGUGGGGGACCGCAAGGCCUCAUGCUAUAGGAGCGGCCGAUGUCUGAUUAGCUAGUUGGUGGGGUAAAGGCCCACCAAGGCGACGAUCAGUAGCUGGUCUGAGAGGACGAUCAGCCACACUGGGACUGAGACACGGCCCAGACUCCUACGGGAGGCAGCAGUGGGGAAUUUUGGACAAUGGGGGCAACCCUGAUCCAGCAAUGCCGCGUGUGUGAAGAAGGCCUUCGGGUUGUAAAGCACUUUUGUCCGGAAAGAAAUCGCACUUACUAAUAUUAGGUGUGGAUGACGGUACCGGAAGAAUAAGGACCGGCUAACUACGUGCCAGCAGCCGCGGUAAUACGUAGGGUCCAAGCGUUAAUCGGAAUUACUGGGCGUAAAGCGUGCGCAGGCGGUUGUGCAAGACCGAUGUGAAAUCCCCGGGCUUAACCUGGGAAUUGCAUUGGUGACUGCACGGCUAGAGUGUGUCAGAGGGGGGUAGAAUUCCACGUGUAGCAGUGAAAUGCGUAGAGAUGUGGAGGAAUACCGAUGGCGAAGGCAGCCCCCUGGGAUAACACUGACGCUCAUGCACGAAAGCGUGGGGAGCAAACAGGAUUAGAUACCCUGGUAGUCUACGCCCUAAACGAUGUCAACUAGUUGUUGGGGAUUCAUUUCCUUAGUAACGUAGCUAACGCGUGAAGUUGACCGCCUGGGGAGUACGGUCGCAAGAUUAAAACUCAAAGGAAUUGACGGGGACCCGCACAAGCGGUGGAUGAUGUGGAUUAAUUCGAUGCAACGCGAAAAACCUUACCUACCCUUGACAUGCCACUAACGAAGCAGAGAUGCAUUAGGUGCUCGAAAGAGAAAGUGGACACAGGUGCUGCAUGGCUGUCGUCAGCUCGUGUCGUGAGAUGUUGGGUUAAGUCCCGCAACGAGCGCAACCCUUGUCUCUAGUUGCUACGAAAGGGCACUCUAGAGAGACUGCCGGUGACAAACCGGAGGAAGGUGGGGAUGACGUCAAGUCCUCAUGGCCCUUAUGGGUAGGGCUUCACACGUCAUACAAUGGUGCAUACAGAGGGUUGCCAAGCCGCGAGGUGGAGCUAAUCCCAGAAAAUGCAUCGUAGUCCGGAUCGUAGUCUGCAACUCGACUACGUGAAGCUGGAAUCGCUAGUAAUCGCGGAUCAGCAUGCCGCGGUGAAUACGUUCCUCGGGUCUUGUAGACACC